CCCUUCUCUUCAAAGCACCCUGCUAAAACUGCAGGAGCCAAGCCUUGCAGGUUUGGCUCAUGUGGCUAUGUAAGCAUGGGUACACCAGGGAAGGAGACCAAAGGCACAGUGUCUGAAAUGAGGCGCGGAGGGACCUCUUUCUUAAUGUCCAAUGUCCUUGGUCUCAAGACGCUGUGUUACAUUC